CCCGGAGUCCUCGUGGUGGUGAUGGUGUCCUCCCUGAGACUGAAGCACCCACAGAUAUGAACGUAAAGGAGACUGAUGAGACUCAAGCCGAGUCUCAACCAAGCAGCAACCUCCGGAGCAGAGCCGGGAAGCCUACGGGGGUCUACGGUCUCCGUUUAGGUCUCCAUAGUUAGUAUCCCUGUCCAUCACGUCUGGACCCCCGACUCACGUGGGGGAUGAGAUGAAGGAAGGCGUCGCCGCUCAGCGUGCCGACAGCCAGCGCCACCAGGAAGCUGAGCAGGAACUUGAAGAAGACUCUGUUCAUGAGCGGGAUGAGGACGACGCCGAGCAGCGAGAGCAGACUGAUGACCGUGAUGGACACGAACCCUCCGACCCACGCUGCAACACGGAGCAGACACGUCAGAAAAACUAAAGUCAACGGGCUCCUACCUCGCUCUUCUGCAGCGCCUCUGUGCAGGAUGCACGCCGCGCCAUCGAUCUGGUUGAGGAGCGCGGGGCAGAGGAAGCUGAAGUCAGCGAGGGUCACACUCGCCUCCUCAGACAUG